GAGCGGCUGGCAUCCCUUGAGUUGCCCGGCGUCAGAGUAUUGUGUCUUCACUUGCUGGCCCUUGGUCACUGCAACCAAGGCUGUGGUUUCUUCUCGCCAAGCCUCAGAAUAGCACGUUGCAGAAUGGCUGCCUACCAUUGGGAAGCGCGCCGCAAGCAGAUAAUAAUGGAGCACCGGCUGCGGCUGAUGCAGGAGAGCAGAAUCGCAGAAGAAAGUGAGCAACAAGCUUCAAAGGAGAAAACCCAAAAUUGCACCAUCCCAUUGGACUCCAACAUGUCGUCUCAGAAUUUGCCAGAAAAAGAGAUCAAGCAGGAACGUUGCCUAUGUCAGACAGAGCAUGUUCCAAGUCAAAGUGGUAAACUGCUCAAAAGAUAUAAGUCUUUAGACUACAUACAACAGUGGUAACAAUACAGCUGAAAACAACACGGAGAAAUGUUCUGUAACUGCUGCAGGACAAAAUGCCACAUGUCUUGAGCUGAAAUCUGCCAGAGCAUACGGUCAAGAUUAAUCUUCCGGGAAUUCUUCUGACAGUAUAAUAAAAGUUCUCUGAAGUCACAGACCCACAGUGCCUGCCUUUAUGUGAAACUUUGCUAUAACCCCUCCCCACUUUUCUCCCUGAAACUUCCACAGCCCAAACUUGCCUGUUAUCUCUUUCAUUUUGGGGAACAGGUUUGAAAAAGACUGGGAAAGAAUCUGGUAGGACAGAUUUAAGUUGUCACGGUAGGCCCUUUAGCACUGCUGAGACAUUGCUAUUCUGUAAUUGCCCAUGAACUAAAACAGAAGUUUCAGAACAGAAAUUAAAAACAGAAGCAGGCUUUGUUACCCAGGAAAACCCUUCCUUAUUUCUAGGCUUUCACCAAAAAAUCCAGUUGAACAAAUUUUGUAAGUUUCUUUUUUGCAAACUCUUUUGCUCACUUUAUUGCUUCUGGUUGACUGAAACCGUGGGUUGGCUUUUAAUAUAUUUUAAAAAAAUAUUAAACCCACCUCACAGUCUUGGUCAAUUGUUUUUAAUUUGCCCAUUGUCAAUUCCAGUUUCAGAGAAGCUAAAAGGAAGCAGUCCAAGCACACAUUGUCUUAUUUGUCUCAUGAUUAUUUGUAGCAAAAUAGCUUUAUUCAGAAGAAGAAGGAAGAGGAAAUAAGAUCAUCCUGAACAAGAAAAUAAACCACUAUUGGUAUCUAAUCUAUUAGCUGUAAUAAAAAAGAAUAAGAAGUACAGCCCGGAAAAAUUCAUUAGAUCCCAACCUAUCUGAUAUUUACACUGCAGUACUAAAUAGUCUGAAUAGCAAAUAAAACCAAACUUGAAAGAAUUUAGGAAGUAUUGCACAAGUAUUUAUUUAAAAAGAUGUGUAAAUAAUUGCCUUUUCCAGUGACCAAUUUUUCUUAUCCACCAGUCUUUUCUACUAUAUAUUAUCACCAGGCAGCAUUGCAUAUUUGCUUCAAAACUACCUAAUUUUAAAGGCCAGAAAUUCUAUCAAGGCAUACUCAUUUUUUUAUAGGUCAUUUUUUUGUAUGUGAACUGUGGUACUGGUCCAAGAGAAAAUAUUUUCAGAAUUUACUCGCCUCUCAGCUCCAAUAGUGAGUAAACCUUUUAAAUUUUUCUUUGGUUUUUUUUUUUUUUUGCAUUCUAUGCUUUUAAAAAGUUAAUAAAAUU